rnacentral:lncRNA from 1 species
CCAACGCGUCCUUGCAUGAUUUGCGCGCUGCGGAGAAAAGACGCAGUCGGAUGCCAAUCACCGUGUGUUGGAUUGGACGGACCGAAAAAGCCCCAGGGAAAGAGAGCCAAAAGGGACAGAGGCCAACGAGGGGGCACCCAAGCGACUCCCCGCCGUCUCGACGCUCGCCUGCGUACCGGUCGACUGUUGCUGACAAAUGACAACCAGGUUGCUGACCACGCCCAGAGGCGACACCAUCGAUGUCACGCGGCCAGUGCUCGCGGGUAUUAACCGGUCUUAUACGACUAACUGGCUACUUCGUUUUCGACUAACGGUCGGUUGACUGCGACUUUAGUCGGCACCGGUGGAAAUCGAACCGUCCGUCAAUAAACAGCAUAAAAUCGUUAUGAAGAUGUAAAUAGCCG